GGACAGGUCGCCAGUCCAUCGCAGGGAGACAGACAGACAGACAGGGUCAGCCUCAGAGAAAAAGUCAUUUUUCUGAAAGUGAGAUCCAUCAUGAAAUGACUGGUAUGUUGAUCCACACAAAUAAUGGCACUAGACCAGCAGGGGGCGCACCUUAAUGAGAGAUCGGUCCGGGCUAUAAAAAUGGCAGCGAGGAACCACUCUUCAGAACGCUAACUUCUGUGAACCGUCUCUCUCGUCUAAGGUUAGGGUUACGUUUGUACUGUGCCCCAGGUUUCCCCUAGGCCUGAGUCCGGUAACAUCAACAACAGAAUAAUGUGCCUUCAUGAACUCUCCUUUUAUACGAUGUGGCAAAGGUCCCAUCUUUCCCCAAAGCUGAGCUUAGAGGAUGUGAUUCACACAGAUUUUUCACCAAAUCUGCGAUAAGAGCUUAAUCUAAAUCACAGUUGUGACUUCUGAAAGUGGACUCAAAACUCUCUCAAAAAAUCUCUCAAAACUGGACCAUAUGCCAAGCAUGAUGUAAACUGAAGUUCAUCUACAAUUUCAUCUAUGCACUUGUUCGACACAUUAAAACAGCUCUCCAACUUCAGAAAAAGACCAAGCUUAUUCUUAAUAACUUCAAACAAAUCCUCGGGGGUUUCAACCAAAAGUUCAGCAUCAUCUUCAGAGUCCUCUGGAUCAUGGUGAAAGACUGGAUUUGGAGUUGGAUUUGGAUAUGUUUUCAAAACUUCAGCUUUAAAAUCUUCAUGUGAGUGUUCAGUGUUUUCUGUGCCCGAGUAGCAAACGUUGAAUAAAUGUUUGUACUAAAGUUGCAGUUUUUGAAGAUGCAUGAAACUACUUCAAACCUCCUUAGAUGGCUGUUAAGAUGUUCGAAAUACUGUUUCUUGGAAGAGAAAGAAGCUGAACUGCAGAGGAGACAACUGAAUGAAAGAACCUCCCUGGUGUGACUGAAUCUGAAUGGUGACGAGUCAAAUGAAUCUGAAGGGCAUUAAAUGUUCUAAACGAACAUGGACAAUCUGCAUGAAGACAAGGGAUUAACUGACUGCGGCCACCAUUUCCAUGCUUAAGUCUCAAAUGUUUAAGUAGCUCAAUCCUUUUGUUUGAGGCAAAGCUACAUAAUUUACACAACCAUCUCAUGCUGUGACACCUAGUAUAGGAAAAAUAAACAUGCAAGUCUGUUA